rnacentral:rRNA from 1 species
AUUGAACGCUGGCGGCAUGCCUUACACAUGCAAGUCGAACGGUAACAGGUCUUCGGAUGCUGACGAGUGGCGAACGGGUGAGUAAUACAUCGGAACGUGCCUAGUAGUGGGGGAUAACUACUCGAAAGAGUGGCUAAUACCGCAUGAGAUCUACGGAUGAAAGCAGGGGAUCGCAAGACCUUGUGCUACUAGAGCGGCCGAUGGCAGAUUAGGUAGUUGGUGGGAUAAAAGCUUACCAAGCCGACGAUCUGUAGCUGGUCUGAGAGGACGAUCAGCCACACUGGGACUGAGACGCGGCCCAGGCUCCUACGGGAGGCAGCAGUGGGGAAUUUUGGACAAUGGGCGCAAGCCUGAUCCAGCAAUGCCGCGUGCAGGAUGAAGGCCUUCGGGUUGUAAACUGCUUUUGUACGGAACGAAAAGCCCUGGGUUAAUACCCUGGGGUCAUGACGGUACCGUAAGAAUAAGCACCGGCUAACUACGUGCCAGCCGCCGCGGUAACAC